UCGAUAUUCCGCAAUUAUUCUCGUCUGCGGCUUCAAUAGAAAAUCUCCAAUUUCAUUGAAUUUUGAUCAAGUCUGGGAGAUGCAACGUAAAAUAAUUUUAAUUUUUCUAAUUGUUGCGCUGGUAGCACAUCAGUGUUCCGGAAAUCUCUUCGGAUACGGAUUGUUCCAGAAAAAGUGUCAGAGAUACCCGUGGCUUUGGAGCUGUCGGUUAUUUGGUCUAAAAGCUAGUACCACCACCAUCACUACUAUUGCACCCAAUGCGGCUACUACUAGUAGAUCUGGUAUCUUUUUCUUUCCAUCGAAUUGAUUCGUUGACAAUUCUGAAUCAUGAUAAUUUUAUUAAAAUACGUUGGUCUGAAUGUGCAAAAUUUCCUCUUAUUGUCAUUUAUU